rnacentral:rRNA from 1 species
GACGAACGCUGGCGGCGUGCUUAACACAUGCAAGUCGAACGAAGUGGCGAACGGGUGAGUAACGCGUAAUCAACCUGCCCUUCAGAGGGGGACAACAGUUGGAAACGACUGCUAAUACCGCAUACUGAAGGAGGGGAUUGCGUCUGAUUAGCUUGUUGGUGGGGUGAUGGCCUACCAAGGCGGUGACGGGUAGCCGGCCUGAGAGGGUGACCGGCCACAUUGGGACUGAGAUACGGCCCAGACUCCUACGGGAGGCAGCAGUGGGGGAUAUUGCACAAUGGGCGAAAGUCUGACGGAGCAACGCCGCGUGAGUGAUGACGGCCUUCGGGUUGUAAAGCUCUGUUAAUCGGGACGCGGUACCGGAAUAGAAAGCCACGGCUAACUACGUGCCAGCAGCCGCGGUAAUUC